AGCUUUGCGCAGUGGCACUAUCAUAGACAAUGAGGUUUACUCGAGGAGUGAUUAUUGCUAACUGAAAAACUGAUGAACACAGGAACUGCAUGUCUGUAGCUUAAUAGUACAGUCAGCCAACUUGAGACCUUGGCUCACGUAU
rnacentral:snRNA from 1 species